rnacentral:rRNA from 1 species
AUGGCGGCUUCGGCGGUCGGGAACCACUACAAGAGCUUCGUCCAUGGCGAUGUUGCACACUUUGUCCAUAAUGAUGGUGGCGCUUCAGCCGGGGUGGUUGUCGUCCCGGGCACCGGAUCAAGGGGUUCUGGUGGCAUCAGGGAGAUGGAUCCCACCAGCUUCCCCAGCUACGGGAGCAGCAACGCCCCUACGGCAAUCGCAGCGCCUGCUCGGGUGCCACCGCGUGCCAGAUCCAGCGGCCAGGGGCUGGCACGGCUCAAAAGGCCGUGGACUGUGGAGGAAGACACGAUGCUCAGGGCGAAGGUGCAUGAAUUCGGCAAAGGGAGGUGGGCGAAGGUCGCACUGUACUUCCCCGGCCGGAGCGGGAAGCAAUGUCGGGAGAGAUGGAUCAACCAACUUGACCCCAACAUUGAGAGGAAAAUCUGGACCGACGCGGAAGACAUCAAGCUGAUCGAGGCGCAUCAGAAGUGGGGGAACCGCUGGUCGGUGAUCGCCCGACUACUCUCCGGUCGGCCGGAGAACGCCGUCAAGAACCACUGGAAUGCCACCAAGCGUAGUCUAAACGCGAAGUGCCAGCUCAAGAAGAGGAACAACAAGAAACCACCUCCAAGCAAGCUCUCCCUUCUUGCGCAGCACAUCCGUAGCGUGGAGCCGCACAUCGGAUCACUCACGGAGACACCUCCGGUGUCCCCACCAUUGUAUCAUGACCAAGAGCACGGCGGGCAGAUGGGGAUGGCCGGUAGAGAUACUGCCGUCGUCAUCGCCCCUACCGAGCAGGCGCACCCGACCUACCCCAAUCCGGCCAUGACUGGUAUGUACUACCACCCUAACCCGACAAACAUGCAGUACUGGGCGCCAGAUUUGAAUGUCGCUGACAUGCAAAAUGAGGGGUACUCGUACUACAUCCCUCCCAAUGCGCACCUGAACAACUGCCUGUCGCACGGUUUGUCACCGACGCAUAUGGUUAGUGAGCAAGACAUCCAGCAGGUGUCCAAUGCAAGCAUAAACAUGUACGCGUUCACUCGACAACAUACCCUCCCAGUGAGCAACCUAAUGGCGGUGGUAGAGAUGCGCCGUGAGUCCUCCGCCAACAAACAACUGGGCAAUGUGGGUGGUGGAGCUGGCGGCUGGUCCUACUACUACGGCAUGGACGCGGCUGGUUCGAGCGGCCCUACUGGAGUAGAUUUUGGUAGAGAAGAGGUAGAAAAACAAGGCAAUGUUAAAGGUGAGACCGCUAGCCGCGACGUCUCUAAUGUGCCUGAGAUGGAAACGACGCUGCUGGCCUCGACAUCUCCAUGGAGGACUAAUAAAGGGUUGAUAGGUUCAGAUUGA